GACGAACGCUGGCGGCGUGCUUAACACAUGCAAGUCGAGCGGUAAGGCCCUUUCGGGGGUACACGAGCGGCGAACGGGUGAGUAACACGUGGGUGACCUGCCCUCAGCUCUGGGAUAAGCCUGGGAAACCGGGUCUAAUACCGGAUAUGACUCCAUGACGCAUGUUGUGGGGUGGAAAGCCUUGUGCGGCUGAGGAUGGGCCCGCGGCCUAUCAGCUUGUUGGUGGGGUGAUGGCCUACCAAGGCGACGACGGGUAGCCGGCCUGAGAGGGCGACCGGCCGACACUGGGACUGAGACACGGCCCAGACUCCUACGGGAGGCAGCAGUGGGGAAUCUUGCGCAAUGGGCGAAAGCCUGACGCAGCGACGCCGCGUGAGGGAUGACGGCCUC
rnacentral:rRNA from 1 species